rnacentral:tRNA from 1 species
UUUUAUAUAGUUUAAUUAAAACAUUAUAUUUUCAAUAUAAAAAUAAUUAAUUUAAUUUAUAAAAA